GAUGAACGCUAGCGGCAGGCUUAAUACAUGCAAGUCGUGGGGCAGCAUGAGUAGCAAUACUUGAUGGCGACCGGCAAACGGGUGAGGAACACGUACACAACCUUCCUUCAAGCGGGGAAUAGCCCAGAGAAAUUUGGAUUAAUACCCCAUAAUAUAUUUGAUAAGGCAUCUUAUUAAUAUUAAAGCUUCGGCACUUGAUGAUGGGUGUGCGGCUGAUUAGAUAGUUGGCGGGGUAACGGCCCACCAAGUCUACGAUCAGUAGCUGAUGUGAGAGCAUGAUCAGCCACACGGGCACUGAGACACGGGCCCGACUCCUACGGGAGGCAGCAGUAAGGAAUAUUGGACAAUGGACGAAAGUCUGAUCCAGCCAUGCCGCGUGAAGGAUUAAGGUCCUCUGGAUUGUAAACUUCUUUAUAUGGGACGAAAAAGGGCAUUCUUGUUCACUUGACGGUACCAUAUGAAUAAGCGCCGGCUAACUCCGUGCCAGCAG
rnacentral:rRNA from 1 species